UGGGGAAUUUUGGACAAUGGGCGCAAGCCUGAUCCAGCAAUGCCGCGUGCAGGAUGAAGGCCUUCGGGUUGUAAACUGCUUUUGUACGGAACGAAAAAGCUCUCUCUAAUACAGGGGGUGAAUGACGGUACCGUAAGAAUAAGCACCGGCUAACUACGUGCCAGCAGCCGCGGUAAUACGUAGGGUGCAAGCGUUAAUCGGAAUUACUGGGCGUAAAGCGUGCGCAGGCGGUUUUGUAAGACAGAGGUGAAAUCCCCGGGCUCAACCUGGGAACUGCCUUUGUGACUGCAAAGCUGGAGUGCGGCAGAGGGGGAUGGAAUUCCGCGUGUAGCAGUGAAAUGCGUAGAUAUGCGGAGGAACACCGAUGGCGAAGGCAAUCCCCUGGGCCCGCACUGACGCUCAUGCACGAAAGGGUGGGGAGCAAACA
rnacentral:rRNA from 1 species